GACGAACGCUGGCGGCGUGCUUAACACAUGCAAGUCGAACGGAAAGGCCCUGCUUUGGUGGGGUGCUCGAGUGGCGAACGGGUGAGUAACACGUGAGUAACCUGCCCUUGACUUUGGGAUAACUUCAGGAAACUGGGUCUAAUACCGGAUAGGAGCUCCUGCUGCAUGGUGGGGGUUGGUAAGUUUCGGCGGUUGGUGAGGGACUCGCGGCUUAUCAGCUUGUUGGUGGGGUAGUGACUUACCAAGGCUUGGACGGGUAGCAGGCCUGGGAGGGUGAGCGGCCACAUUGGAACUGAGAUACGGCCCAGACUCCUACGGGACGGAGCAGUGGGGAAUAUUGCACAGUGCGCGGAAGCAUAAUCCAGCAACGCCGCGUGCGGGAUGAGGGGCAUCGCGUUGUAUACCAAUUUCGCCUGUGACGAAGCGUGAAUGACAGUAAUGGGUAAAGAAGCACCGGCUAACUCCGUG
rnacentral:rRNA from 1 species